UUAGAAGCAGCAGAUCGACUGACGUACGGUGUGUUAAAGUGUUCCCUUUUAAGAAGUUUACCGGAACCGCGGAACCGAUGAUCCUCUUAAACAGAGGAAAAGCAAUCACUAUUGCACAGUGACAGACAUUGCACGUGUGAGGAAUAAUCCUCGGCAGGCCCAAUACCCCAUUAACUACAAUUCCCAAUAUCAUCUGGAAAAGUGACGCCGAUAUCACAAAACAGAGGUAUCAGAUAUACGGCCGGCUACCUGUCACAGCAUAAGGUGCACAAUACCGACGAACAGUCAUCGUACCAAGCAACCCGUACCGUCGCACAGUACGAACCACGAAGAGGCGACAGUGCAGCUUCCAUCCCGCGCAAACGGACCACCGACAUCGACACAGCAUUUGCCAGGACGUGUGAAGAUCGUCCCGAUCGCUCUAACUAGCAGUGUUAGAUUACAUCCUCACACUAUACCAAAAUCCAAUUGGAAAACUCAGUGGUGAGAACGACGAGCCUGUGAGAAACUCACUAAUGCACGCUGAGCUUGGAGAGCGUCGCAGUCACACUAGUGUUGAGCAUCAACGUUACCCACUAGUAACUCGGGUAUCACGUGUUGACGGUUAGGAAGAAGGGUGAAAGGGCCCAAGCAUCAAGUGUAGCACGGUGAACAAAUGGUGCGGAGUGGGUGGUAGCAGAAAGCUGUAGUGAUUGACGGAAGGAAGAAGUGUGAUCUGUGCAUCGUGGUGUGAGCAGCAUAAGGAAGUAGUAGAAGCAGAAAGAAGAUCGUGGCUGGGUGUUAGUGUGUGUGCAUGCAACGUGAGAGCGGUUGGAGAAACAGUGCAGAUGCACUUUCGAAUAGAGCGCCGUCGAAUGGUGCCGAGCAAGGACGUAGUAAGUAGGGGCCCCUAAACAAAUGAUAGCGAAGAAGUUCGCUGAAGAGAGCACUACGGUGCAGGGAGGAGGUAGGCUUAGCAUGUAAGACUUGAAUGAUGCA